UACGAGGGGGCGAGCGUUGUUCGGAAUUAUUGGGCGUAAAGGGUGCGUAGGCGGUUUGGUAAGUCUUGUGUGAAAUCUACAGGCUCAACUUGUAGUCUGCACGAGAAACUGCCGGGCUUGAGUAUGGGAGAGGUGAGUGGAAAUUCCUGGUGUAGCGGUGAAAUGCGUAGAUAUCAGGAGGAACACCUGUGGCGAAAGCGGCUCACUGGACCAUAACUGACGCUGAUGCACGAAAGCUAGGGGAGCAAACAGG
rnacentral:rRNA from 1 species